rnacentral:rRNA from 1 species
CCCUUAGACGUUCUGGGCCGCACGCGCGCUACACUGACCAGUGCAACAAGCAUCCGUCCUUGGCCGACAGGCCCGGGCAAUCUUUGAACGCUGGUCGUGAUGGGGAUAGACUUUUGCAAUUUUUGGUCUUCAACGAGGAAUUCCUAGUAAACGCAAGUCAUCAACUUGCAUUGAUUACGUCCCUGCCCUUUGUACACACCGCCCGUCGCACCUAUCGAUUGAAUGGUCCGGUGAAGCCUCCGGAUUGGCGCGCACCUCGGUGCCGCCGAGAAGUUGGCUAAACCUUACCAUUUAGAGGAAGGUGAAGUCGUAACA